GGUCCCAUAGCUCAGCUUGGUUAGAGCGUCGUACUAAUAUUUCAUUUCGAAAUAUCUAGUAAAUGCGAAGGUCGGCAGUUCGAGCCUGUCUGGGACCA
rnacentral:tRNA from 1 species